GUGUCAGCCGCCGCGGUAAUACGGAGGAUGCAAGCGUUAUCCGGAAUCAUUGGGUGUAAAGGGUGCGUAGGCGGGCUAUUAAGUCUGGGGUGAAAUCUUGCCGCUUAACGGUAAAAUGGCCUUGGAUACUGGUAGUCUUGAGUGUAGAAGAGGCAGGUGGAAUUCGUAGUGUAGCGGUGAAAUGCAUAGAUAUUACGAAGAACAUCAGUGGCGAAGGCGGCCUGCUGGUCUACAACUGACGCUGAGGCACGAAAGCGUGGGGAGCGAACAGGAUUAGAUACCCCUGUAGUCCUAGCUGUAAACGAUGGAGACUAGGUGUGGCCUGUAUCGACCCGGGCCGUGCCGGAGCUAACGCGUUAAGUCUCCCGCCUGGGGAGUACGCACGCAAGUGUGAAACUCAAAUGAAUUGACGGGG
rnacentral:rRNA from 1 species